CUUCUAAAAUUAUUGAAUAUAGCACAAUGAAAAUGUCAACAUUUACUAAAGACUAUUUUUCUCUUGGUAUAAUUAAAUACAAAACAGCCUAACAGCAAAGAAGCACCUCUUUCCCCAUUUCCAUCUGUGUUUUUCAAAAUAUGUGCUUAAAAAAUAUGUAACUAUUGAAUGAUGGUUUGUAUUUGAGGGUAAGUAUCUUUUUCCCCGAGGGGAGGCUUACUAUAUGACAUGGUUUCACAGAUUUUCUUUUUUCUAAAAGCCUGAAAUGGCGGUAGCACUUCUCAUAUUUAGUUAGGUUGAUAUUCUCAUGAUGGGUCCACUGAAAAUGUCAGCAAAGCCUUGCCUUCUUGUGACAUCUUUUAGGGAGCCACUGGGAGCCGCACACUAGUACAGCUAGAGCUCCUUAUAAGUUAGCCAUGCUCAGACUUCCAUGGGACAGGAAAUGUGGCCAAAGCUUUUGCGCAUUUGCAGGUAUUUCCCAGGAGAGAGUAUGAGAAUAAUUGAGGGCAGACCUGCUCGCUCACAGAAUCCCAAGUGCAGUUAGCAGCAUAUUGAGAAAGAGCUUUUGGCAUUUCUUGUGAUUAGUAAAGUGCCUGACAAAUACUAGACGUUUAAAAGUUGAAUGACCAUAUUGUGUCAAACACUAAAGAGUGUUUCUACCAAAGAAACAGUGAGAUUCUAGAUCGCUAUCAGAAGGCAUUAGCACAGUACAGUAGGUCCAAUGGCUUGAAUUUUGCCAGAUGGGGCAAGCAAAAUAUAGGACCUAGAGAAGUAUUGUGUUAUUCUAUAUCUAUAGUCUAUCUCAUUAUAUUCUAUCUCCGACAGUGUCCAAGUCAAUGUGUCCACUUGGGUCACACAGUAGGUACAAUAAUGUGGCUCAAUUGUUGUCGUCUGAUUUUAUAUCCUAUGCAAUUUUUAUAUGAAUAGAGUAGCAAGCUCUGAGCUACAGUUAUAUCUGCUUUAUUUUAGAGAAGCCAUUCAUUUUAUAAAAGCGCAAACCCUACCUACUUUCAUUCCAGAGCUGGAGAAGACCUGAAAAGUUCAUCUGGUCUACCUUCUGGUUUUUGGUAGUGCUGUCAUACCUAUAGGGUCACUAUGUUGUCCUUGUUCAUGCUAUUUUCUGAAGUCUUUGGAGAUAUAGUUUCCACAAAUCCUCUCUAUAGCUGGUUACAAAAAUUCGAUUAUUAUUAUUGUAUCUUUCUUAGCCUGAACUAAACUUGGGCUCCUUUUGGAGACUUUUUAACUGGGGAGGAGUAAUUUCUCCAUGGAAAGAGAAUAAACUUGUCAGUGUUUUCUUACAUUAUCUUUGAAUGAAUAGAUUGAAAAGAUGGUGAACUUUGAAAUAAAAAACAGAAGUAGUAAUUUAAGUGAUUCCCCUCCCCUUGAAAAUCACAGGGCUGGUUGUUAAUUUUUUAUUACCUAUUCAGCAAAUAUCUAUCACUGACUGUAUGCCAAGUCCAACUUGAAAGCCUCUUUGAAAUCACCUCUUUGAAAGCCUGUAGGGCUUUGAAGAAUUUCCCUUAGAUUAAGAUUUCCUUUCUCAAAUAUUCCUUAGAAUGAGGAGAGCAAAAUUGGAUAUGCUAUUCUCAUGAGGAGGGCCAGUUAUAUGUUGUUCUCCUGUUUAUAUAUCAUCUUCCAAUUAAGUACAGUCUCAUAUAAAAAACAAAGGUCUGAAAACAAGAAAAGUUUUCUUAAUUUGUUACCCACCUGAAAGCUAAGUUUUCGUUUCCUUAAACUCUUUGUUCUAAUAAACUGAAUCCUAAAUAAUAUAUUUUUCCUUAUGAACACUUUUGUAUUAAAAAGUAUCUGGACUGACAAUAUCAUUGUGAAUUAAAUGACCUUGAACGUGAGAGUUCAUGCUGAUUAUGCUAAAUCUUUACCGUGUGUCUCAGGAAAAUGACAAGAACAAAGAGUGGUUCUAGGCAACUGGCAGGCCUCAUUUUAUUGCCUGCCAGUGAUGCAAUAAGUAGGCCCAUCAACUAAAGCAGAAGAGGUGGAUCACAUUCUCCAGGGAUCUCGACAUCCACUGGAAGCUCAGAUAUUAUGUGAAAUAUUUGGUUUUUUAAUAAAGCUGAUAUCACUGCGAGAGAAAAGUUGUCAGAGGAGAGGCACAUUUU
ensembl:lncRNA